AGGGUGGUAAUGCUGCCUACAUG
rnacentral:miRNA from 10 species